rnacentral:rRNA from 1 species
UACGUAGGUGGCAAGCGUUAUCCGGAAUUACUGGGCGUAAAGCGCACGCAGGCGGUUUUUUAAGUUUGACGUGAAAGCUCUCGGCUUAACUGGGAGAGGUCGUUGAAAACUGAAAGACUUGAGGAAAUGAGAGGGGUGUAGAAUUCCCGGUGUAGUGGUGGAAUGCGUAGAUAUCGGGGGGAAUACCAGUGGCGAAAGCGGCGCCCUAGCAUUUUACUGACGCUCAUGUGCGAAAGCGUGGGGAGCGAACGGG